rnacentral:rRNA from 1 species
AUGGCAGGGCCGGGCGAGAAGCCGUCGUCCACCUCCGCCAACGGCAACGGCACGAAAGCCCCGCCGCCUCCGGCCGCUCCCGGCGGCUCCGGUAUAGCCAAAAGGCUUCCCCGCCUUGCAUUCGUGUUCCUGCUUGCGGUUCUGUACCGUCAGCUUCAGGCUCCGCCUCCAAAGAUCUGCGGAUCCCCAGACGGCCCUCCGAUCACCGGGACAAGGAUCAGGCUCAGUGACGGCAGGCACUUGGCCUACCAUGAGUCGGGUGUCCCGAAAGAACAAGCCAACCAUAAGAUCAUCUUCGUCCAUGGAUUCGACUCAUGCAGAUACGAUGCCCUCCGAGUAUCACCCGAGCUGACACAGGAGCUCGGGAUCUACAUUUUGUCCUUCGAUCGACCUGGAUACGGCGAGAGUGACCCUCAUCCGGCAAGGACCGAGAAGAGCAUCGCCCUCGACAUUGCAGAGCUAGCUGACAGCCUGCAUCUCGGGUCCAGGUUCUACCUCGUCGGGUUCUCCAUGGGCGGCGAGAUCAUGUGGAGCUGCCUCAAGCACAUCCCCCACCGGCUUGCUGGGGUGUCUAUCCUCGGCCCCGUGGGCAACUACUGGUGGUCAGGCUUCCCGUCCAACGUGUCGUGGGACGCGUGGUACCAGCAGACCCCUCAGGACCAAUGGGCCGUCCGCGUCGCGCACCACGCGCCCUGGCUGGCCUACUGGUGGAACACCCAGAAGCUCUUCCCGGCCUCGAGCGUCAUCUCCUUCAACCCCGCCAUCUUCUCCAGAGAAGACAUGGCCAUGAUCCCCAAGUUCGCGUCUCGACCUUGCUCGAGCAAGGCGAGGCAGCAGGGGGAGCACGAGAGCCUGCACCGGGACAUGACCGUCGGGUUCGGGAAGUGGGGCUGGAGCCCGCUGGAGAUGGAGAACCCGUUCCCGGGCGACGAGGCGGAUGUGCACCUGUGGCACGGCGCGGAGGACCUCAUCGUGCCCGUUAGCCUGUCGCGGCACAUCGCGGAGAGGCUGCCAUGGGUGAGAUACCACGAGCUGCCCACGGCCGGGCACCUCUUCCCCGUCGCCGACGGCAUGGGGGAUGUCAUCCUCAGGACCAUGCUGCUCGGGGAAAACUGA